CUUGAAAAGAAAAACGGUUUGGAUGGCAGUCAGGACUGGCAGAAGUUGGACUCUCAUUGUGAACCGAGGAAGGAGGCUGAGAGAGGAAACGGGAAGAAAGUGGAUAUGCCGAUAGCCAGGCUGGUGCUUUUCCAGGAUUUCUUCGACUACUGCAUCGUGAGAGGAGCACAAGGUCAAGUGGAGAAGCAGAGUGGCCAGUGAGGAGGUUCCUGCAAUAGUCCAGCCCUACGCUUGGCUCCGUGCCUAGGUCUCCAGCCUCUUGACCGGUCACGUGCCUUUCUGCCUGACGACCCUGAUCCUUCAGAUGACAACUUAAACAUGACCUUGCGGGAAGAGGAUUUCUGGGCCACCCCACCUAGUAAGCUCCUCCUGAUUCUCUCCCUGGAGGCCCCAUGUCUUACCCACAUGGUGCUUCCCUACUGCCCAGUUCUUUAGUUAAUUUGCUCACUGGUCUUUGGUCUGUUGUCCCAAG